GCACCUUGGCUCAGUGGUAGAGCAUCUGCUUCACAUGCAGAAGGUCCCGGGUUCAAUCCCUGACAUCUCCA